rnacentral:rRNA from 1 species
CCUACGGGAGGCAGCAGUGGGGAAUAUUGGGCAAUGGAGGAAACUCUGACCCAGCGACGCCGCGUGAGGGAUGAAGGCCUUCGGGUUGUAAACCUCUUUCAGUAGGGAAGAAGCGAAAGUGACGGUACCUACAGAAGAAGCACCGGCUAACUAUGUGCCAGCAGCCGCGGUAAUACAUAGGGUGCAAGCGUUGUCCGGAAUUAUUGGGCGUAAAGAGCUCGUAGGUGGUUCGAUACGUCGGAUGUGAAAAUCAGGGGCUCAACCCCUGACCUGCAUCCGAUACGGUCGAGCUAGAGUUUGGUAGGGGAGACUGGAAUUCCUGGUGUAGCGGUGGAAUGCGCAGAUAUCAGGAGGAACACCGAUGGCGAAGGCAGGUCUCUGGGCCAAUACUGACACUGAGGAGCGAAAGCGUGGGGAGCGAACAGGAUUAGAUACCCUGGUAGUCCACGCCGUAAACGGUGGGCGCUAGUUGUGCGAACCUUCCACGGUUUGUGCGACGCAGCUAACGCAUUAAGCGCCCCGCCUGGGGAGUACGAUCGCAAGAUUAAAACUCAAAGGAAUUGACGG